rnacentral:sRNA from 1 species
CCAACGCUGAGUGACGCGAACAGCCCGC